AAGCACCAAAACAUGGUGCAACAUCAACUAAAAGUGUGGUGCGCAUCUCAAUGCCUCUUCUGGUCUUCCGUCACAGCAGCAGCAGCCUAAGCAACAUUAGAUCCUGAUCUAGAUCACCAAAAAGAAACAUUAUUUAAUUUUUAGAGACAAUGCAAUCAACAUGAGGCGGUAAUCCAACUUAACACUUUGUUAACAUAUUUUACAUAUGCAAAUAACUGAGCUUACUGUAUAAGUUUAAGAUCCACAUGCAAUGUGAAACUGAAUUGCCAAAUAGCAGCAUGAUACGUUGGUACAAGUGCAGGUCAUCAAUGAACAUCACUGUAACAGGUUCACCUGAAGAAAAAUACUACUCUACUACCACUACCAUCGAUUCAACUUACAGGAUCUAACAACACUAGUGAGCGCACACAGACUAACAUCACAAGGCAAGAGAGAAUAGAGGGAACAGGGACCUGAUGAUGAUAGUGUCGACGAUGAUCAGAUUGGGUAGAUCAUCCACCUCCUCAUUGUGGUGUGCACCAAAAUGAUCUACACACAUUUGUCAUCCAAAGUAAACACCUGCAUGAUUAAAAAA
rnacentral:lncRNA from 1 species